rnacentral:misc_RNA from 1 species
GUUUAUUUAUCCAUCCCUAUAACCUAUAGUAUGCAAUUCUCCCAUCAGAUGCCUCUCACUCCAAACCACAUGAAGAUUUAUGAUCUUUUCCCUGUUUAUCUUCAACUUGUUAUUUUCCUCUCUUUAAACCUCCAAUUCACACAAGCCCAUUCUUCAGCAAAUGAUACUGAUCAGCUUGCUUUGUUCAAAUUCAAAGCAGGGAUAUCUAGUGAUCCACAUCAAAUUUUCUACUCAUGGAAUCACUCUCUCCCUUUUUGUCAAUGGUACGGAAUCACUUGUAGUUAUCGUCACCAGAGAGUCACUUCAAUG